rnacentral:misc_RNA from 1 species
UGGCAAUGCAUCUAGCAAAUUUAUUUAUUUAUUUAUAUGUUCAGUUGCAUUGGCAAGAGAGGAACUAGAGAAAAGAGGAGAAGAUGAAAAACAGAAAAUACGAGGUAGAAAAAGCUCUAUAUCCACACCAUAACACAAGAAAUACAACAUAUGUUACAUUUUGUAGGAUAUAGUAAUUUGAACUUCUAUACAGGCUGCGGCAGACGGACCAAAAGUUGACCGCUCAUGACACUCUUUAUGUAAUAGUAGCAGAAAUCUGCCAAAAUGAACGUUUGAACAAUUUCCGCCAAAAAGACCAUCGGUAUCCAAAAGUAACCCCGUCCAGCCAAAUAUAGAUAUGCUCCGCUAGUGUCAUAGACCUGAUUAAUCCAAUGAGCACAGCCCAAGAAUCUUGCAACACCCAAUGCAAACACAUAAUGAGCUGUGAACGGCUCAAUUAUCUGGACAUUCUGCAUCAAGCGAAGCUGAGGCAGCACUGAGAUAGACUCCAUGUAUACACAAAAAGCCCAAAGAAUCCGGAAGAAGAAAUUAUGAGCCGUAGCAGGAUGGAUUAAGAAGGCUGCAACCACACAAGGCACAAUCAAAUACAAAUAGUGCAUAUUAUCCAGAUCUGUCAUGAAGGACGACUUCAACUUGAACUUCAUCAUAUAUAUUACCCACAAUGUUGCCGCAAGUGUAACAAAAUCUAGAAUGGUGUGUAUAUCUCCUUCCAUGAUGAAACUACAAAAUACUCUUAC